AUUGAACGCUGGCGGCGUGCUUAACACAUGCAAGUCGAACGGUGAAGCAGAGCUUGCUCUGUGGAUCAGUGGCGAACGGGUGAGUAACACGUGAGCAACCUGCCCUGGACUCUGGGAUAAGCGCUGGAAACGGCGUCUAAUACUGGAUACGAGACGUGGCCGCAUGGUCAAAGUUUGGAAAGAUUUUUUGGUUCAGGAUGGGCGCGCGGCCUAUCAGCUUGUUGGUGAGGUAAUGGCUCACCAAGGCGUCGACGGGUAGCCGGCAUGAGAGGGUGACCGGCCACACUGGGACUGGGACGCGGCCCAGACUCCUACGGGAGGCAGCAGUGGGGAAUAUUGCACAAUGGGCGGAAGCCUGAUGCAGCAACGCCGCGUGGUGGAUGACGGCCUUCGGGUUGUAAACCUCUUUUAGCAAGGAAGAAGCGAAAGUGACGGUACUUGCAGAAAAAGCGCCGGCUAACUACGUGCCAGCAGCCGCAGUAAGAC
rnacentral:rRNA from 1 species